CAGUCGAGCGGUAGAGAGAAGCUUGCUUCUCUUGAGAGCGGCGGACGGGUGAGUAAUGCCUAGGAAUCUGCCUGGUAGUGGGGGAUAACGUUCGGAAACGGACGCUAAUACCGCAUACGUCCUACGGGAGAAAGCAGGGGACCUUCGGGCCUUGCGCUAUCAGAUGAGCCUAGGUCGGAUUAGCUAGUUGGUGAGGUAAAGGCUCACCAAGGCGACGAUCCGUAACUGGUCUGAGAGGAUGAUCAGUCACACUGGAACUGAGACACGGUCCAGACUCCUACGGGAGGCAGCAGUGGGGAAUAUUGGACAAUGGGCGAAAGCCUGAUCCAGCCAUGCCGCGUGUGUGAAGAAGGUCUUCGGAUUGUAAAGCACUUUAAGUUGGGAGGAAGGGCAGUUACCUAAUACGUGAUUGUUUUGACGUUACCGACAGAAUAAGCACCGGCUAACUCUGUGCCAGCAGCCGCGGUAAUACAGAGGGUGCAAGCGUUAAUCGGAAUUACUGGGCGUAAAGCGCGCGUAGGUGGUUUGUUAAGUUGGAUGUGAAAUCCCCGGGCUCAACCUGGGAACUGCAUUCAAAACUGACUGACUAGAGUAUGGUAGAGGGUGGUGGAAUUUCCUGUGUAGCGGUGAAAUGCGUAGAUAUAGGAAGGAACACCAGUGGCGAAGGCGACCACCUGGACUAAUACUGACACUGAGGUGCGAAAGCGUGGGGAGCAA
rnacentral:rRNA from 1 species